CCCGCCUGCUUCUUCCCCAAAUUUCCUUCGCCAUUUCUGCAACUUUUAAUCCCCUUUCAUUUUUUUUUUCUAUUGCUCGGCGCGUGUAGCGCACGAAUUCAACAAAUUCAGCCAUCGACCCGUAUCGCCGCGAAGACGCGGCCUCGACCUCGCCCAGGUCUCCAGCGCGCAGCCUCCUCCCUCGCACCGCGUCGACCCGGGUCUCCACAGCUGCGCUGUGGAUGCUCUAACACUAUUUGGUUUAAGGACGUAGCUUAAGAUUAAAAAAAUUGGUAUUAUAAUAUAUUAAUAUUCAAAAUUGGUAGCCUUAAACCAUAUGCUAAACAAAGAC
rnacentral:lncRNA from 1 species